AACGGCUCAGUAACACGUAGAUAAUUUGCCCUUAGGUGGAGGAUACCCUCGGGAAACUGAGAAUAAUACUCCAUAGAUUUAGAAUGCUGGAAUGCUUUUAAAUUGAAAGAUUUAUCGCCUAAGGAUAAGUCUGCGGACUAUCAGGUCGUAGUUAGGGUAAAUACCUGACUAGCCUACGACGGAUACGGGUUGUGAGAGCACUAGCCCGGAGAUGAUAUCUGAGACACGAUAUCAGGCCCUACGGGGCGCAGCAGGCGCGAAAACUUCGCACUGUGCGAAAGCACGACGAGGGAAUCCCAAGUGCUGGCUCGUAAGAGUCAGCUGUUUCUUUGUCUAAAAAACAGAGAGAGUAAGAGCUGGGUAAGACGGGUGCCAGCCGCCGCGGUAAUACCUGCAGCUCAAGUGGUGGCCGCUAUUAUUGGGCCUAAAACGUCCGUAGCCGGUUCUAUAAAUGCCUGGGUAAAUCGUACGGCUUAACCGUACGAAUUCCGGGUAGACUGUUCAACUUGGGACCGGGAGAGGCUAGAGGUACUCCUGGGGUAGAGGUGAAAUUCUGUAAUCCUAGGGGGACCACCAGUGGCGAAGGCGUCUACUAGAACGGGUCUGACGGUGAGGGACGAAGCCCUGGGGAGCAAACGGGAUUAAAUACCCGGUAGUCCAGGGUGUAAACGCUGCU
rnacentral:rRNA from 1 species